rnacentral:rRNA from 1 species
AGAUUGAACGCUGGCGGCAGGCCUAACACAUGCAAGUCGAGCGGUAGAGAGGUGCUUGCAUCUCUUGAGAGCGGCGGACGGGUGGGUAAUGCCUAGGAAUCUGCCUAGUGGUGGGGGAUAACGUUCGGAAACGGACGCUAAUACCGCAUACGUCCUACGGGAGAAAGCGGGGGACCUUCGGGCCUCGCGCCAUUAGAUGAGCCUAGGUCGGAUUAGCUAGUUGGUGAGGUAAUGGCUCACCAAGGCGACGAUCCGUAACUGGUCUGAGAGGAUGAUCAGUCACACUGGAACUGAGACACGGUCCAGACUCCUACGGGAGGCAGCAGUGGGAAUAUUGGACAAUGGGCGAAAGCCUGAUCCAGCCAUGCCGCGUGUGUGAAGAAGGUCUUCGGAUUGUAAAAGCACUUUAAGUUGGAGGAAGGGUUGUAACCUAAUACGUUGCAACUUUGACGUUACCGACAGAAUAAGCACCGGCUAACUUCGUGCCAGCAGCCGA